rnacentral:rRNA from 1 species
AAACUCAGGGCUUACCUGAGCUGCUCCGAUACGAGCAGACUAGAGUAUGCAGGGAGACGAAUUCCUGAUGUAGCGAUGAAAUGCGCAGAUAUCAGGAGGAACACCGGUGAGCGAGACAUUCUCUGAGCAUUACCUGACGCUGAGGAGCGAAAGUGUGGAGAGCGAACAGGAUUAGAUACCCUGGUAGUCCACACCGUAAACGUUGGGCGCUAGGUGUGGGACUCAUUCCACGAGUUCCGUGCCGCAGCUAACGCAUUAAGCGCCCCGCCUAGGGAGUACAGCCGCAAGGCUAAAACUCAAAGGAAUUGACGAGAGGCCCGCACAAGCGGCGGAGCAUGCGGAUUAAUUCGAUGCAACGCGAAGAACCUUACCUAGGUUUGACAUAUGCGAGAGGCCUCCAGAGAUGGAGGUCUCUUUGGACACUCGUAUACAGGUGGUGCAUGGCUGUCGUCAGCUCGUGUCGUGAGAUGUUGGGUUAAGUCCCGCAACGAGCGCAACCCUCGUCCUAUGUU